GAUGAACGCUAGCGGCAGGCUUAAUACAUGCAAGUCGUGGGGCAGCAUGAAUGUAGCAAUACAUUUGAUGGCGACCGGCAAACGGGUGCGGAACACGUACACAACCUUCCUAUAAGUGGGGAAUAGCCCAGAGAAAUUUGGAUUAAUACCCCGUAACAUAACGAUGUGGCAUCACAUUGUUAUUAUAGCUUCGGCGCUUAUUGAUGGGUGUGCGGCUGAUUAGAUAGUUGGCGGGGUAACGGCCCACCAAGUCUACGAUCAGUAGCCGAUGUGAGAGCAUGAUCAGCCACACGGGCACUGAGACACGGGCCCGACUCCUACGGGAGGCAGCAGUAAGGAAUAUUGGUCAAUGGGCGCAAGCCUGAUCCAGCCAUGCCGCGUGCAGGAUGAAGGCCUUCGGGUUGUAAACUGCUUUUGUACGGAACGAAAAGACUCUGGUUAAUACCUGGGGUCCAUGACGGUACCGUAAGAAUAAGCACCGGCUAACUACGUGCCAGCCGCCGCCGUAAUAC
rnacentral:rRNA from 1 species